UUCUUGUUUCGGUCUAUACACCAAGUCUUGUGCCAUUAAAGACACUUUGUUGGUUUAUAGUAGUUCAGUCCAUAAAAAGCUUCUACAUAAUGCAGUUAUUUAUUUCAUCACGACCUUUGUUACUAUGAACAUAUAGGACCAGUAGAUAUAUAUUUGCAACAAUAUAGAGUUUAUCAACUAAGCUUCUAGCAUAUGUCAGGUGCUUUGAUCCCCAUUUACUGAUUUCUACUUUUCAUUUUGUCCAUCAACACUUCACAAUACACCAAAGAUAGUUUCUUAGUCGAUAUGGGCACUCCCAAAAAUCUGAAUGGUAACUUGCCUUUUACAUACCCAGUAAGUUGACAUAUGUCCUCCAACUUUCUCUUAUCCAUGUUUGCUGAGAAAAUGUUAGAUUUUGUAUCAUUGGUGGUCAAACCAGAGGUCAAGAAGAAAAGUCCAUACCUCUUAGCCUCAAUACCACAGACUGUAUGUCACUUUUGCUGAAAAUGAGUAGAUCAUCAACAAAGCAAAGGUGAUUUAGUCCUAGACUCCUGCACUUUGUAUGAUAAUUGAAUCCUUAUUGCUAUGACACCCAUUUAAUUAAUCUGGUAAAAUAUUUCAUGCAUAUGACAAAGAAGAGAUGAUAGAUUGGAUAUUCUUGUCUCAAUCCUCUUUGUCCCUUAAUACAUCCAUACACCCCACCAUUAAGAGUUAUAGAGUACUAUAGGGAUGUCACAUAUUCCAUUAUCCACAUUAUGAAUUUAGUAGGAAAAUUUAGUUCAUACAAUAACUCCUUGAUAAAGUCCCAUUCAAUAAAGUCAUAUGCCUUUUUAAGAUCAAUCUUAAUCAUGUAACUCUUUGUUGUGUUCUUCCUAUGUACAGCCUGAACAGAUCUUGAUAAAUUAAUAUGUUUUGUACUACGUAUCUCCCAAUAAUAAAAUCACUCUGGACUAUGUAUCUCCUAGCUAACCUCCUUUUCCAGUAUUCCUUGGUUAAUAGUCGUUUUCUUGUUUCAGUACAACAUUUCUAGGAUCUAGUUGUAACCUAUCCUGACAAUUAUGUAGCUUUUUCUCAACCUAUGUAUCCUGCACUUCAAUAGCAUUGGAUCUUUUCUGCUCAGCUUUGUGAGUGCACUCUUUACCCUAUUCAGCUUUUCCAUCAGUUGGUAUAUCAUGACCAUUGUAUAUUCAAUCUCUAGUUCUCCUCCACUUUUUCCUGAAAAGCUGGAGCUAAACUCUAAAUAUUGAGGUAUUUGAACUGCCUCUAUGGUGGUUGGACAUGCUCCUCCCAUCUUUUGAUUGCUGGGCUAUGGUAAUAUAUUCCUUCAUUCAUAAAAUAUACCACUAAAGUAGGUAAUCAUAGAUACCAUUCCAAGUUGACCAAUACCCUAUCAAUUUUACUCAUCACCCUAAUUUCCCAUUCUUGUUUAUUUGUCCAGGUAUAGUAGCAUCCAGUUGACCUCAACUCUUUCAAACCAUAAACCAUAACAUAAUUCUUGAAUUCCUAACUUCUAUAGCUGUGAGUAGUCUGCCUACUUUAUUGCCAGGAUUUAAUACAUAAUUGUAAUCACCUAUUACUACCCAGGGAUUAGUGAUCUAUUUAUAUAACCAUUGUAAAUUCUCCCACACAUCCCUCAUUUGAUCUUGGAUAUUAAAACCAUAUAUGAAGGUUAUCCCCAUCAUCUGUCCAGUCCCCUUCUGUUUAAACUUACAAUAAAUCAUCUGAUCUAUCAUACUCUUUAUAUCCACCUCAAAUCUAUUAGGUUUUCAAACUACUUGUAUUUUCCCUUUUAGGUGGGCUAAAAAAUUAGUUAUAACAGACCAUCCAUCACAAAGUUGAAGACAAACUCUCUAAUCUUUGUCUUUACUCACCCUUAUUUCUUGUAAUGGCCUAAUUUUCUAUGUGUUUUGAUAAUUUUUUCUUUUCCAUAGUUGUUACAUAUUGAUUUUUAGGUUUGAAGAUGGUUUACAUAAUUUCUGAUGCAAUCGAGAAUGAGUUGUGCGAGUUGUAAGUUUUUAGAGGCUUGAGAAGCCAUAUAGUUGACUUUGGUCAACAUUUGUUGUUCUGAAUGUAGGAUGGAAAAAUAGACUAUGCCAACAGAUCUAGAAUUAUCAAAUUUGGGUUAGUAGCAGGGUUAGUUCAGAUUUGAAACUUUUAUAUCUCAUUUCGACCAUUCAUUUGAAAAAUAGUAAAAUAGAGUCUCAAAGGAUAAUUUAUUGAGAACAAUAAUUUUUCAAAAAUUUGACAUCACUAUUGAGUCCAAAACAUCAAAAUUAGCCUAGUAGUAUGUCUAGUUUUCUUCUAUUUGUCCCGAAUGAACUUUGAGGGUCCAUUUGGUGAUAAUUUUAACUUGGCUUCUACUACUGGUGUAGCAAUUUCUGGUGCAUCAGGCCCUUUAUCAUGAUCAUAUGAACAUGUGUUGUAAUUGUGGGCCUUGAUGAUUCCCUUCAUCGUGAUUGUGUUGUGGUACCGCGAUCAUAAUGAGUAUUCAAAUGGACCGAGUCGAGUUGACUCAUCGCGAUUGUGAGGCCCAGAUGCGUGAUUGUGAUGACCAACCUUAUUACCAAUCAAUGUUGACCCUAGAAAUUAUGAGGGAGGCCUGCAAUCGUGAGGCACUGUUCAUUGAACAAUAUAAAAGUCUUUGUUUGCAGUUACUCUAUUUUUGGACCUCUAAGCUUCGGGAUAGUCGAUUUUUGAGGGUUUCAACGUUGAUUUUUAUGUAGGUAACUUCUAAACUCAUAAUUCCUAUAUUUAUUAUUGAUUUUAUCUCCAAAAACCCUUAAAUCAUGAUUUCAAAAUGAAAAAUUGGAGGUUUUAUCGAUAAUAUUUAAAAAGGGUUUUUCUUAGUUCUUAACCUCAAUUUUAAUUCGUUUUGACAUGGGUUUUCUCCUGUAGACUCCUAUAACCUUGGGGAGUGUGUUUUGAAAUAAAAUUCUAAUUUUACCUCUUUAAUUUUCAAAUACAUGUUGGACUCGGUCCGAAUAUGGGCAUCAUUAGCUUUUUUUAAUGCGUAGAUGUUAUUUUGAAUGUUGUAGUUGAUUUUUAGGCUAUUCACAAGGGAAAGGUCUCGUGUUGGGGCAUUUUAGAUCAUGGUUUUAUCGUUUUAAGGUAGAUUAUAACUUAAUUGCUUUCAGAUUAAGUUGGAUAGUUAAUAUAUCAAUAAAGUAUGAUAUGGGUUAGAAAAAGUAACUAUGGAGAUUAUUCUUAUUGUUGUGUGCUCGUGUGGAGGCUUAUAUUCUGUUUUUGUUGACUUGUGGUAUCUUAUAUUUGUGUUGCCUAUGUAGGGGCUUUAUUUUAAAUCAUUGGCCUUAUCUAUGCAUCAAUAUUCCUUCAUUCUAGAUAUAAUGCCCAUACAGUGAAUUAAGUUUAUAAUAUUGGCCUUAUUUGAGUAUUGAUUGCCUUUAUCAUGAUAGUUAUAUUCGAAUUUGGGGUUGAUAUGAUAUAAAUAAUAUCUUUUAUGCAUAUUUAUUUCAUAGUUCCAAACAUUGAGUUAAUAAUCAUGAAUUGAGGACAUAUUGAGUUGAUUUUUUGGGCUUGCGAUAUAUACUUUUGUUUUGAUUGGAUUGGAUAUCCUCAUUUUAGGUUAAUUAUGAGCAUUACAUCCUCAUACCAUACAUAUACAUUCAGGAGAUACUGGUACCACUGAGAAUCACUAUUUUUGAAAGAAAAUUAGACAUUUUUAUGAAAACCCUCUUCGUGAACACGAGAUGUAAAGGAUAGUUGAGAUUGAGAUUGAUAUUGUGAUAUGAGAUGCAGUAUAUGGGUUGCGAACCCCCCAUGGGUCCUACUUAGUAGAUGCAAGAUUGGUGGGUGUAUAUGAAAAGUCAUGCGACAACCUCCAUUACUCAUCCGAUACCCAUUGUAUUGCAUUACAUUUAAAUUUGCAUCUUGCUUGUUUCCCUUAGUUUCAUUGACUUGUGUUUGGUUGCCGUGUACUUCUCUUUUUUGUCGUGUCAUUACUGUUUUUUGUACAUUUAUAUGUUAGUUAGUAAAAAUGAUGUGAGCUACAGUUUGGGACUUUUCUGCUUGCAGGUGACGUGCUCAUACUAUAUUUUACGUAUCUUAUUUUCUACUUUGCUCAGUUGGCUGAUGAUACCUAUUAAGUACAAGUGGAUCAUACUCAGACUUACUGUGCCUUUUCAGUAUAGAUCCUAGCAUAAGUACAAUAUGAAAAGGUUGAGAUUGUGUCAUAAUAUUUAAGGACUGGAUUGUUCUAGUGUUUAGGGCAGAUUUUUGGAUCUCACUCUAUCUUACUUAUGUUUUUAUUUGAAUCAAAGACAGAGUUUUGUACUUUUAGUUUCGAAUUUGUACUUAUAUUGCUC
rnacentral:lncRNA from 1 species